rnacentral:rRNA from 1 species
UACAGAGGAGCCAAGCGUUGUCCGGAUUGACUGGGCGUAAAGCGCACGCAGGCGGAUGCGCGCGUGGGGUGUGAAAUCUGGCCGCUUAACGGCCAGGCGCCAUCCCAUACGGCGCGUCGGAGUGAUGCAGAGGUCGAUGGAAUUCCCGGUGUAGUGGUGAAAUGCGUAGAGAUCGGGAGGAACACCCGUGGCGAAGGCGGCCAGCUGGGCCCGGACCUGGACG